AGAUUGCAAAGAGGUCCCUUUGACUGAAAUAGGCUUUGAGUCUAUAGACAGCAUCAGACUCCCCCUCCUUGAACAUGAGAAAGUCGCAUAGGAUUAAAUCAAGCAACUAGGAAAUCAAUAGGGAGGAUAGUGGUCAUCACAUGUACCUGACCAAAUUCCUCAUCUUCUUUGGACUUUGACUAUUGUUGGCUAGACAACCACAAUGAUAUUUUACUUAGGCCAUGCCAAUAAGUAUGCCCUCUUUCUCCACAACCACAGCCUUUUAAAUGAAGGCCUCAAGUCUUCUGAUAUUAGGAAUUCAUGAUAACUACUACCUUUUGUCUGAAAGCCAUCUUCUUCAUGGAAUUCUACAUAUAUCUGCUUCCCUUCUCUACUUUCUUCUCAUAAGUUUUGACCAUGUCUGCAAAAGAAAAUAUUUAUCUUGUAGCUUAAAUUAUACGCUAAACUGGAGUUCUCCAAGAUGCCUAGUAAUUGAUUUCUGUGUUUUUCUCCUCAAAGCCAUUAGCUUGUGAAAUUUCAAAUAUAGGUGUUAUUGUCUUUUUCCCCAUUGAAAGGAGCACAUGACUUGGAAUAUAAAUCCCUUUCUUAGGAAACAAGAAUCACUUUGUUUUUCCAUCAAAUGUCUCACUGAAGGCCGGUCAGUGCAGUACAUGUUGAUGGAUUUGAUUUGAAGGUGUUGAAUUGUACUGCUGGAUACAGUCACAUCCUUUAAAACAAGUUGAUGCAGAUUAAUCUUAACUUUGUAAUCUUGCUUAAGGGGGUUAAAAGGACAUAGGGAGGCGGUAAGCAGAAUGGGCUAAGGGCUUGCAGAGCAUUUUGGAUUGCAACAGCAGGAACUCUUGACAGCCUUUAUUUGGAAUCAAGUGUUCUGAUGGGCAUUCACUUGAACCAUUAGCUAGUCAAGUCCCUUCUCAACAACACACACACACACACACA
rnacentral:misc_RNA from 1 species